GGAGAUGCCAGAAACCCUAGCCUAGCCUAGCCAUGGAGGUACGACGCCUCAACCUCCGGCGACGGACGACGGCUGCAGGCCAUCUCCGGCGACGGAUCUCCGACCCCGACCAUGGGCAGGCUGCUCCGGACGAGCUGCUACUGCUGCUACAGGUGCACGACGCAUGGCUGCUCCCUCCUCCUCUGCCUACUGCAGGUGGACAUGACCGGACUUUCUUCCGUUGUCAACGCAACUCGACGCAAGACCAGUGCCUUGGUCGCUUGCUCCGGUGUGGUGCAGCCGAG